rnacentral:rRNA from 11 species
AUUGGAGGGCAAGUCUGGUGCCAGCAGCCGCGGUAAUUCCAGCUCCAAUAGCGUAUAUUAAAGUUGUUGCAGUUAAAAAGCUCGUAGUCGGAUUUCGGGUGCUGCCCGGUGUAGCCACGGCGAACGCCGGGUGGGGCCUUCCUUCUGGGAUUCCUCUGCACUCUUUACUGAGUCGGAUGGCGUUCCAGGACGUUUACUGUGAAAAAAUUAGAGUGUUCAAAGCAGGCCUAUGCUCGAAUACAUUAGCAUGGAAUAAUAGAAUAGGACGUGCGGUUCUAUUUUGUUGGUUUUUGGAAUCGCCGUAAUGAUUAAUAGGGACAGUCGGGGGCAUUAGUACUCACAUGCUAGAGGUGAAAUUCUUGGAUUUUGUGAAGACUAACUUCUGCGAAAGCAUUUGCCAAGGAUGUUUUCAUUAAUCAAGAACGAAAGUUGGGGGCUCGAAGAUGAUUAGAUACCAUCCUAGUCUCAACCAUAAACGAUGCCGACUAGGGAUUGGCGGACGUUA